AUGAAUGAUCCUCAAAUUAAACCCAGAUCUCAGAUCUGUCAGCAGGAAGAACAAAACGAAGAAAAAAAACCUGGUGAUAAAAGUGCUUGUGGCCAGUCAAAGGUACCUAAAAUUGCACAUUAUUCUCAGCAGCAAGAAUACACAGAUUAUGCAGAUAGAAGUCAUGAGAACAAGGUACCUAAAAUUGCACAUCAUUCUCAGCAACAAGAGUACACGGAGUUUGCAGAUAGAAGUCAUGACAACAAGGUACGAAAAUUGCAGGUGCUCAAAAAUUUGUAUCAAGGCAACAAACAUAUGCAGCCACUUAUAGAACCAUUCAAUGGGAUUUCUGAGGAUGCACUUUUGGGAUCAGACCGACACCCCAUUCCUAGACAGAAAGAAUCAAAUCAACAGGAAUCAGAUUUGCUUCAUUUAGGGAACUAA
rnacentral:rRNA from 1 species